AUACAUAUAUUUCCGUGGCAAUAGCUCUAAGGUCUCUUCCUCCUGUUAGACAAGAAUCCAAUUCCGAACUUUCAUAUGAAAUUUGGUCUUUCUCUCUAUUUUAAUUUCAUGUUAAUUUCACUAUCAUUAGUUUUACUUUUACAUCAAUUAGAGAAGAGGUGUAAGAUGUUAGUAAUGAUCGUUGUUGACAGAAGAUAGAAAGCACAGAUGAUGAAAUGCACGAAAGGGAAUGAUAUUAGCAUGGUAUUUCACUCCUCUGUGCUCUCUAUACUUCUGUCAUCACACUUCAACUUUCAUCUACCUCUACUUGUAUGGGUAUAUAGUUUAACAUUUUUCUUCUCUAUAGCUUGCUAGUAUGAUCUAUGGGUAUUAGUUGAUGUCAUUUAUAUAUCUCAUCAAUGUUAUCGUUGUUUCACUUUGAUUACUUUAUAACUAACUAGCAUUAUUUCCUUAUUUACACACUCACAUGCAUCACAUAUAGUAGGUAUAAAGGGACCACAUACGAAUUUCCUGAAGACGACGUAGGUGUGGUUGUGAUUUUUCUUGCUUUCAAUAUUAUUUGGGUAAGGAUGUUAUGCUUAAUACAGGCCGAAGCCGAAUGCAGCUGGUUUAAUUGAUUUGUUUAUUCUGUGAGGAUGGAUGGAUAUGACCACACACAUGUUCAUGUCCCCAAUAGUAUUAUUCUAGUAAAACGGUCUAAAGUUUUCUCUUGUACCCACUUAAUAGUGUGAACAAUGAUUCCCCCAACACAUUCUGGGAAUGUUAAUGUAAUAAAUUGAAUUCCAUUA